rnacentral:lncRNA from 1 species
AUCAAUACAUCAAUUUCCAAUCGAAAACCAACACACCAGUUUUUAGUCUCAUGUUGGGACCCAUUUUUGACAUGGAAGAUGAUCGAAAUGGGAGAUGACUUCUGAAUAAAAAUUGUGGCCCUUUGAGUUAGCUAUCCAAUGCAACUUGAAUCACCUCAAUUGGACAUCGGGAAAGAAAGUUAUGAUUAAAAAACUGAAAGAUGUCUGGC